UGGGGAAUAUUGGACAAUGGGCGAAAGCCUGAUCCAGCCAUGCCGCGUGUGUGAAGAAGGUCUUCGGAUUGUAAAGCACUUUAAGUUGGGAGGAAGGGCAGUAAGCGAAUACCUUGCUGUUUUGACGUUACCGACAGAAUAAGCACCGGCUAACUCUGUGCCAGCAGCCGCGGUAAUACAGAGGGUGCAAGCGUUAAUCGAAAUUACUGGGCGUAAAGCGCGCGUAGGUGGUUCGUUAAGUUGAAUGUGAAAGCCCCGGGCUCAACCUGAGAACUGCAUCCAAAACUGGCGAGCUAGAGUAGGGCAGAGGGUGGUGGAAUUUCCUGUGUAGCGGUGAAAUGCGUAGAUAUAGGAAGGAACACCAGUGGCGAAGGCGACCACCUGGGCUCAUACUAACACUGAGGUGCGAAAGCGUGGGGAGCAAACAGG
rnacentral:rRNA from 1 species